UACGAAGGGUGCAAGCGUUAAUCGGAAUUACUGGGCGUAAGGGUGCGUAGGCGGUUGUUUAAGUCUGUCGUGAAAUCCCCGGGCUCAACCUGGGAAUGGCGAUGGAAACUGGCGAGCUAGAGUGUGUCAGAGGGGGGUGGAAUUCCACGUGUAGCAGUGAAAUGCGUAGAGAUGUGGAGGAACACCAAUGGCGAAGGCAGCCCCCUGGGAUAACACUGACGCUCAGGCACGAAAGCGUGGGGAGCAAACAGG
rnacentral:rRNA from 1 species